CUUGGGAAUCUGCCUGUUAGUGGGGGACAACCCGGGGAAACUCGGGCUAAUACCGCAUACGCACUACGGUGGAAAGCCGGGGACCGCAAGGCCUGGCGCUAACAGAUGAGCCCAAGUCGGAUUAGCUAGUUGGUAGGGUAACGGCCUACCAAGGCGACGAUCCGUAACUGGUCUGAGAGGACGACCAGUCACACCGGAACUGAGACACGGUCCGGACUCCUACGGGAGGCAGCAGUGGGGAAUAUUGGACAAUGGGGGCAACCCUGAUCCAGCGACGCCGCGUGGGUGAAGAAGGCCUGC
rnacentral:rRNA from 1 species